CGUGGCGGCCUUGGUGCGUGUGUAGUGCAUGUGAACAUUGUUGCGUCUCUUAAUUGCUCAGUAUCGCGCCUGUACACUCGCAAUUCUCCAAGAUGUUUGGUUUCGCGAUGAUAAUUAAAAAUUAAUAGUCCCGGUAAGUGCAUGUAAGUACAUCAAUCCGAAGGAUACAGGCAAUUUUGAUCCUCACAAGUGGUACCGAGUGUUCUGGAAGGAUAACACACACUGCGGCCACUAUCACGCUCAAGUGAUUAAGCUUUACGCCACCGAGGAUGAUGCAAGGAAUGCAACAGAAAAACGACCAUCCAUUACGCAGACCCGAUUGCGACUCCUCCGAUGGAUGCAGUUCAAAUGAAGUGGACAAUGAGUCGUUUAAGAACAAAGAACCUUGUCCUUUGCGGGUGUUGCAGCACAAGCCUCAAAAACAGAAGCGACUUGCACCUUUGCCACCACUAUGUGCUGCUACGCUGGAACCACCACAGUGACCACGGACAGCCCUGAAGUAGCCAACUCAAGUGUGAGGGAGGCUGCACCGCUUAUCAAUUAUGUGCCCACUGACAGAGAGGUAUCAUAAACCUCUGGUAUGCUUUGUCUUGAAGAUAUAUUGUUUUGCUUUUUAAUGAGAAAAUGUGCAUUGACAAACUAAUGUGUGCACAUCAUCUUGGACUUGUUUUAUAGGUGCAUCGGAGCAAAGGAAUUGCCGUUCCCAAGAGGUUGUACAAUCACCCCAUGGGCUUGAAAAGACAGACCCAUUUUGUUUGUGAGGCGGCCGUUACCAUUUUUCAUACAGCAGGCCAAGUCGGUAGAAGUGUUACUGGUGCAGCCUCCAAUCGGUCUAAAGGGGAGGCGAAAUCUCCCUAAGAGAAAGAAACAUAUGCUGUAUUUUCUGGUAGGUGAAAUUUUGCAAUCUGACCGAAAUUCAUGGAAGUUGGCGGCUCCAUUUUUGCACGUAAUCAGCCGAGGUUUCACUGUCAACUUGUGUUAUAAUUAUUUACUAAAGCUUCAAGUGUGCUUUUGCCUACUGGAGCUGGGUACAUUUAUGCAAGAAUCCACAAACUAAUUUUAAACAAUAUUAGAGAGGCAGACUGGUAGCACUCCUAAUUAUUUCCUUGUCAUAUUGACUCCUCUAUUUAGAGUGCACAUAAUUGUCGCUUAAUAAGUGCCUGUAACUUGCUUUGUUUUUGAUCAUGCAGAUUUCUUCAACCAUUUUUUUGAAGCACACCGUUCUGAUUGGAAAGGUUGAACAAAUGAAGAAGCUCCUCAAUAAAGCUUUGACAAACAAAAUUAUUGACUUUAUGAAAUCAAGAUUAACCAAGGAAUGGCACAUCAAAUAAAAUAUUUUGUUUGAUUUC